rnacentral:rRNA from 1 species
GAUGAACGCUGGCGGCGUGCCUAAUACAUGCAAGUCGAGCGAAUGGAUUAAGAGCUUGCUCUUAUGAAGUUAGCGGCGGACGGGUGAGUAACACGUGGGUAACCUGCCCAUAAGACUGGGAUAACUCCGGGAAACCGGGGCUAAUACCGGAUAACAUUUUGAACCGCAUGGCUCGAAAUUGAAAGGCGUCUUCGGCUGUCACUUAUGGAUGGACCCGCGUCGCAUUAGCUAGUUGGUGAGGUAACGGCUCACCAAGGCAACGAUGCGUAGCCGAACUGAGAGGGUGAUCGGCCACACUGGGAAUGAGACACGGCCCAGACUCCUACGGGAGGCAGCAGUAGGGAAUCUUCCGCAAUGGACGAAAGUCUGACGGAGCAACGCCGCGUGAGUGAUGAAGGCUUUCGGGUCGUAAAACUCUGUUGUUAGGGAAGAACAAGUGCUAGUUGAAUAAGCUGGCACCUUGACGGUACCUAACCAGAAAGCCACGGCUAACUACGUGCCAGCCGCCGCGGUAA